ACCCGCUGAACUUAAGCAUAUCAAUAAGCGGAGGAAAAGAAACUAACGAGGAUUCCCUCAGUAACGGCGAGUGAAGCGGGAAGAGCUCAAAUUUAAAAUCUGGUUUGCUUGCAAGCCCGAGUUGUAGUCUGAAGAAACGUUUUCCAUAAGCACUGAGGCAAAAGUCCCUUGGAACAGGGCAUCAUAGAGGGUGAGAAUCCCGUCCAUGGUCUCAAGUUGUUUAUUUUGUGAUACGUUUUCAAAGAGUCAGGUUGUUUGGGAAUGCAGCCUAAAAUGGGUGGUAAAUUUCAUCUAAAGCUAAAUAUUGGCGAGAGACCGAUAGCGAACAAGUACCGUGAGGGAAAGAUGAAAAGAACUUUGAAAAGAGAGUUAAACAGUACGUGAAAUUGUUGAAAGGGAACCGUUUGAAGCCAGUCUUACUUGCCUGUGAUCAAUUUUUGCUUCGGCAUGAAUGCACUCUCGGGUAUGGUAGGCCAACGACAGUUUGGAAUGCGAGAAAAAAAUAGAGGAAAUGUGGCCUUCGGGUGUUAUAGUCCUUUGUAAAAUAUCGUGUUCUGGACUGAGGAUCGCAGCAAAAACGUGGGCAGGUGGAUUUCUGUGGUAACUGUCGAUUAGGACAACUUGUUGACCUAGUCUUCCUUAGCCUCACUAUUUACCUUGCUUCUAAUUUGCUUAGGUCGUUGGCAUAAUGGCUUUAAAUGACCCGUCUUGAAACACGGACC
rnacentral:rRNA from 1 species